CAAUACUGUUCAAUGACAUAACUUUUACACUGUAAUAAUUUGUGAUAAUAAUGUAGCCCUGGAGGUGUAGCCAUCUAAAAUCAGGUUGCAACUGUGCAUAGGAAACAAAAGCCCUAAACCCAGAUUCCAGAGGGGCACAUACCAGCAGUGACCAGCUGUGACAACUAUAUGAUGGGUGUGGAGAUUAGGAACACGUAAUACAGGGUCAGCCGUGGGAGCUGAAGAAGCUGUCUGGGGCAGUAGGCACAUUGUCAGGUGUGUUUUUCUUAACAACCGUACCAAAACUAUUUUACAAUUAUGUGCAUCCUAGUUAAUAAACAUAAGCCAUUUCUAAAAAUUAAAAGAUCUAAAUUGCAUGUUGGCUUAUAAUAAAAUAUAUUAGAUCUACUUAAUAAAAUGAAAUACAAAUAGUGGUUAUUCUGGGGAACUGAGUUAUAAAAUAUGACUGUCUUAUUUAUUUUGCCAUUUUUUACAUUAACUUUGAAAUGUUCUGUGUGAUAUGAUUUUAUUCCUACCAGCACAUACAUUUCUUUGACAAUUCUUAGAGUGUGUGUAGGGGGAGGGGGACCCAACAUCUGGACAGCCCCACGUGUUGCCACCUGUUGAUGCUCUGCAUCCUGGAUGUGCCCCAAAGUUUCUGUAAGCCUGGUCUCCAAAACAGCAAGGGUCACAGGCAAGUCUUUAAGGAAUGAUUGGAUGGUGAGUACUCUGAUCUUUCUAGUGGCUCCAUCCACUUGAGAACUUUCACUGAUGGCUGAGUGGGCUCCUGGGCAAUGGGACCUUCUCGAGGGAAGUGGGCCUCUGGGGAAAGGCUGGAAAGGUUUGUCUUUUCCCACUUGACUCUAUAUGCUUUCCAACUUUGGCCGAGGGCAGCUGAGCCAGCCAGCAGUGGCCUAAGACCUCUGGGACCAUGAACCAAGGCAGAUUUUCUCCUCUACAUCAUUCCUGUCCAGUAUUUUGAUCAUAGUGAUGGAAAAUUAAGACACCAUCAUCAUAUUUUCUCCUAAAUCUCUUGGAUGGUGACUGUUAGGGGUACUUUUGAGGUGGCUCUCUCAAAUUAGUCGAAAAUCUUGUGGUCCAGAACUCCUAAUAGACAUAAAAGAAGAUUGUCAUCUAUUAUAAUUUUGGAAGACAGAACAAUCAGGAAUAAAAAGAAAAGUUACAACAUGUACUUAAAAAAAAAAAAAACCUGAGGAUGAGACUCUUCCUUCAGUGGUCUUUGGUGCCAAAUUUGAAAACCCAUUCUGAAACAGAUGGACUAAACAGUCUCAACUUAGUCUAUUUUUCCCAAUAAAUAUAAGCAACUCAGAGCAAGUAGUAAGACAUGAUAGAACGAGACCAAAUUUGCAGGAUACUCUACUACAGUAGCCCAUCAAAAAAAGAAAGCAGUUAGUCAAUCAAAUCACAGUUUGACACUUUGGUUUUCUUUUUAACUGAGUUGAUCUAUCAAACAGUCUGAAGAAAGUAGAUCAUGGGGAGAAAAAUAGCACAAAGCCAGAAAUCAAGAUUUGAAUCAGCUUCCACUUUUAAUUCUCUGCAACUGAUACUCCACGCAGCAGUGAGAAUGUGGGCUUCCAAUCACCAAUCAGGGGAUCUUGCACACAUGCUUAGAACCCUGGAGGGAUUUCCCAUUGCUCUUCAAGUCUAAAGCGCAUCCCCUUUGUCUUUCUGUUUUUCGAAGUUACAGGAUUUUUGCAUCAGAUGGUUCCAUUUGCACUGGAAUGUUCUUUCUGGGCUCUUGGAAACAGAUUUUACUCGAUGAGAUGGCUACACUGUGGGUGUGUGAAACACCAAGUAGAUCAACCAUAUUUCUGCUUUAGAAAUGUCUUGUAAAGAAUGACAUAGGAGGGUUGGGGAUGUGGCUCAAGCGGUAGCGUGCUCGUCUGGCAUGCGUGUGGCCCAGGUUCGAUCCUCAGCAUCACAUACAAAACAAAGAUGUUGU